CGGGGGAGGCCGGAUCCUGGCCUGUGUCCCGGCGCCCUGUGCUCCGGAGCCUGAGCUGGUGGAUUCGCUCCCGGGCCGUGCAGCCCCCU
rnacentral:pre_miRNA from 1 species